GAGCAGCCCCAGGCCUGUGAGCCAGCUCCGGCCACCAGCAGGGAUCAAAGAAGGAAUCUUCCAGCCCUUGUGCCAGAAUCACCCGGGCACCUCCAUGGGAUCUGCCAGCAUUCUUUUCUUACUCAUCAUCUUAUGCUGUUACUGUCUCCGCAACUGGAACCAACGGUCCUCGAGAGAAGGUGUCUUGUGUCCCUCCUACUGUGCCCACAACCUUCACGCAGUGCCUGACACACAGCAGGGCCUCUCGAGCCUUUGUGGACAUCUGGAGGAUGACUCCGAACUCACCCUCGCGUUGCACCGUCUCACCUCUCUCUGGGGACCUGUCCCUUCCCACAGUGAACUUCGAAGCAUGUCUGUCUGUCACCAUGUUCUGGCACAGUCUGGCCAUGCUCACCUGUGUCCACCCGCUGACUCAUUGCAGCUGGCACACUUGUUGCAAAUGGCAGAAACUCACAUUAUUUUGCAUAAGUAAAUAGUAACCAAAAAAAAAAAAGAUGGUUUACCAUGCUCUACACUAGCAGCCAGCAUGUCACCUGGAAACACCGAGACCUGAGCUGACACUCAGACGUCUCCAUCUCCCGGGAGCCACGCUCCGUGUGGCCCUGGCAGAGUGCCCAGGAUAAAGAGCACGGCCAGCACCUGCUCCAGUCCUGGUCCCCAGUGUCUGCACAAAGCUGCAGCAUCCCAGAGGCUUCUGCUCUGCCUCUGGGGACCUUUGCUCCGUUUGCGGAUGCGGUUUCCUUCUUCCUACAGAGAGGCAGGUGGUUUACUCCAGCGCUGCCUGCUCAGCACAGGGUGACCUCCUGCCAGGCUGUCCAUGGUGCUCUUCCUAAGUGAGCACUCCCCCCCGGGGGAACCCCUGGCUCUGUUUGGGGCCUGGCUGACUCUCGCUGGGGCUGGCCCCUUCCUGCACCCCCCUCCCCCGCCGUCCGACCUCAGCAUAUGGCUCAGGGACACAGACACCCAAAGGCCUCUUGGGUCCUCAGCCUUGAUAUCGGCCACAGCCCUGCUUAAAUGUCAAGAAAACGCAUUGGCCACAUGAAUAAUUCCUCACUAACGGCAGCGACAGAAACCGGAACCAGAAACCCUAGAGGGCUGGAGCGGGGAGGGCCGACUGGCCCGUGAACAGGCACGUUUCUGCUGCUUUGCCGGCCUUCGUGGUCCAUUUAAGCAGCCCGUGGAAGGCCUAGCCUGAAAGUGGGUGCUGUCUGAGAUGGGGAGGGGCCCUGGGCCCGGUAGGAUCCACACAACUGUGGCAGCCACGGAACCACAGGGAGCCAAGUGUAGGAGGUGAAGGAAGCAAUGCCCUGGGGGCGGACGCUGGGACUGGGCAGUCUCUGGUUUGACCUGUUCGCGGGGGAUUCUUGACUUAACCUGUGGACAACUGGGCCAUUCCCUGAGGGUGGAGGGGGCUGGGGGCUUUUCUCCUACCUGCCCUCUUCCCAGGCCAGGGCCGUGGCUUCCUGACCUAGUGCACACAUGUCUGUCUGUCAAGCUCUCCAGAUACAAUGGGGCAAAAUGACCAACGUGGCCCCCGGGUCCCUGAGAAGGAUGCCGCUGCAGUGGUUAAUCUGAUUUUCUGGCACCUAAAGCCGCUAGGCUGAAGCCUAAACAAACCAAAACAAAAUUUAAAAAGUACAAAACCACCUGAAGCAAAGCCAGGAAGACAGGGAAGGGCCUUAGGCGUCGAAGAUGGGAGGGUAGGGUCGGGAAGAGGAACUCGUCUGACUCCUGGCUGCACUGGGAGAUUCCUUCCUCACAGAGGGCGGCACUGGGGCCAGCUGGGCACCCAUCCCUUUGCAAAAAUGCUGCCCCACGCUCCAUUCUCUGUGUUUAUCAAUUGAUUUUGAGAGUUUUGUGACAUGCCAGUGGCCAGCGUUACAACUAUGAAUAAUAAAUGGACCCAUUUCCUGUUGGGGUUUCCAGUCUUAAGGCCUAAAAAACAAGAUGAACUCCAGAAACACGGCAAUCAUAAGACAAGCUGAAGAAAGUCCAUGUGGAAAGGAAAACUGACUUGCCGUUUUCCACAAAUCUGUAAUAAUAUGCAAACCAUAAUAAUAAAGUACCGUUCCUGCAGACUUUGGGAGCAUUCCUUCCAUUAUGUUCAGUGAGGAGCUUCUCCAAUCAUUUGCUUGUACCAUCCUUACACUCACACCAUGUGUUUUAUUUUUCCUCGUGUUAAAGGCACGGAAGACCAGAAAACAGAAAAGAAAUCAAAGCUUCUGAGAGGA
rnacentral:lncRNA from 10 species